rnacentral:lncRNA from 1 species
AUUCAGAAAAAAAAGUCAUAUAAGCAAUAGGAGGCUACAAGAUGGAUAACCUAAGUGAAUGGAAUGUCACUGUGUUCUACAGUGUGAAGGAACAAAGGAGACUUUGAGAGCAUCCAAGCAGUUUUGGACUUAGAGGGACAUUCCGGCCCAAGGACUUACUAACUGGGUGACCUUGGGGCGAGAAUGUAGUCAUAGUUCCCUAAGCUUUAUGGGAAGAAGCUCAGAUCCACUCUUGCAGCGGGACACCGUGAGACAUCACUCCCAAGUGCAGAGGGACGGGUCAGUUCAUUUCAUAGACUCAAAUUACGGAACCUUCAGAGGGUGAUGGGAAAGUUCCCUUUGCCCCGACAAUGUGUAUGCCCAGAGAAAAGACCAUGGCAGGACACAGCAAGAAGUCAGCCAUCUGAAAGCCAAGGAGAGAGGCCUCGGCAGAAGCCAAACCUGCCAACACCUU